AGGUAAAAAACAUUGAGAUUCUUGUACCAAAAUUGUAUUGGUAUUCCAAUGAAAAGGAAUGGGAUAUAUCAGUUGAAGAAAUGUCAUGCAGAGCAACUGGAACUCUUUCAGUCUUCUUUUCUACAGCUGCAUUUGGAAAUCUUGAUGACGUUUUGAAAGGCCGUUUAAUAAGGCUGAACCGUGUCCUGUAUUCCAUGUCAAGUCAGACCUGCAUUAUAUUGAACAAUUCCAAGUACAACUUUACCGAGGCACUGGAAGAUCUCUUGCAUUUUUUAAAAUAUAAAUUGAAAUAAACAAUUAAUAGAAAAUAUUAUCAAUUAUCUAAGAACACUACCUUAAAGGGGUACUCUGCCCCUAGACAUCUUAUCCCCUAUCCAAAGGUUAGGGGAUAAGAUGACU